UACGUAGGGUCCGAGCGUUGUCCGGAAUUAUUGGGCGUGAAGGGCUCGUAGGCGGUUUGUCGCGUCGGGAGUGAAACACGGGGCUUAACCCCGUGCCUGCUUCCGAUACGGGCAGACUAGAGGUAUGCAGGGAGAACGGAAUUCCUGGUGUAGCGGUGAAUGCGCAGAUAUCAGGAGGAACACCGGUGGCGAAGGCGGUUCUCUGGGCAUUACCUGACGCUGAGGAGCGAAAGUGUGGGGAGCGAACAGG
rnacentral:rRNA from 1 species